rnacentral:lncRNA from 4 species
GCGGCGAAUCAAGCGGCGAGCUUGGUUGCAGCGCAGAGCGGCGGCGAUUCCGAUGCGGUGCUCCUAGGUCGCCGGCUCCUCUUCUUCUCCGCCACUCUCAUUCUCCCUUCUUGCUGCCGCCACCGCUCUCCGUUCUCUCUUCCACCGCCUUCAGGCUGCCGCGCCGCCGCCGUCACACGAUUUGGGGAUAGAGGGGGAGAAAUCGCGUCGGGAGGAACGGUGUGGCGAAGCCACGCCUCCGCAAUGCGCCGCGACCUCGUUUCCCCACGCCACCCAGUCCCGAUUGUGCCGAAGAACGGGUGA